rnacentral:rRNA from 1 species
AAAAGGGGCGGCGUAGGGCGGCCCUUUUAAGUUCUCGUGUGAAAAGCCCUCGGCUUAAACUGAGGAUCUGCCACGGGAUACUGGCGAGGCUUGAGUUCGGGAGAGGAAAGCGGAAUUCCGGGUGUAGCGGUGAAAUGCGUAGAUAUCCGGAGGAACACCAGUGGCGAAGGCGGCUUUCUGGACCGACACUGACGCUGAGGCGCGAAAGCUAGGGGAGCAAAAGGGAUUAGAUACCCCUGUAGUC